rnacentral:lncRNA from 1 species
GGGAUCUUCUUCGGAUGAUAUGUUAUCUUCUCAGCUAAUUGUUGCCUCAAGGAGGAAACACUUUUCUCAUGGGGUGAGUUCCAGCUCCUGUUGGUGUGGCGUAGCUGGAGGAACGAAUGGUGGUUGUAAAACCUCCACAGUGGUGAGAGCUGUUACGUAUGCUCUUUCCUACCCGUUCUUCCCUAGUUCUCCCUCAGGUUCUCCUUUCCUUUCUCUCCGUGGUUCUCCACCUGUUCGCCCCCUGUCGGGGUGAUCGAUCCCCUUUUUAUAACAACUCCGAGCCCGGGACAAAACGUGACGUUUAGC